rnacentral:rRNA from 1 species
AUAUUGCGCAAUGGGGGGAACCCUGACGCAGCAACGCCGCGUGAAGGAAGAAGGUUUUCGGAUCGUAAACUUCUUUAAGUGUGGAAGAUAAUGACGGUACACACAGAAUAAGCCACGGCUAACUACGUGCCAGCAGCCGCGGUAAUACGUAGGUGGCGAGCGUUGUCCGGAUUUACUGGGUGUAAAGGGCGUGUAGGCGGGCAUACAAGUCAGAUGUGAAAUACCGGGGCUCAACCCCGGGGCUGCAUUUGAAACUGUAUAUCUUGAGUGUCGGAGAGGAAAGCGGAAUUCCUAGUGUAGCGGUGAAAUGCGUAGAUAUUAGGAGGAACACCAGUGGCGAAGGCGGCUUUCUGGACGAUAACUGACGCUGAGGCGCGAAAGCGUGGGGAGCAAACAGG